rnacentral:rRNA from 1 species
UACGGAGGGUGCAAGCGUUACUCGGAAUCACUGGGCGUAAAGGGUGCGUAGGCUGACUUUUAAGUCAGGCGUGAAAUCCUAUGGCUUAACCAUAGAACUGCGCUUGAAACUGGGAGUCUAGAGUUCAGAAGGGGCAGAUGGAAUUAGUGGUGUAGGGGUAAAAUCCGUAGAUAUCACUAGGAAUAUCAAAAACGAAGGCGAUCUGCUGGGAUGAUACUGACGCUGAGGCACGAAAGCGUGGGGAGCAAAC